UCUUACAUGGUGGUGGCAAUAGAAAAUGAGGAAGAAGCAAAAGUGGAAACUCCUGAUAAACUCAUCAGAUCUCAUGAGAUUUUAUUCAUUACCAUGAGAAUGGCACGGGAGAGUCUGGCCCCCAUGAUUCAGUUACCUCCUUCUGAGUCCCUCCCACAACACGUGGGAAUUCUGGGAGAUACAUUUCAAGUUGAGAUUGGGGUGGGAACACAGCCAAAGCAUAUCAGGUGUUGUGGGAUUAUACUAAUCUAGGGAUUUCCUUCAUAAUUCUUUUGUUUUAAAGUUGUGUUCAACUUCAUACAGACGUAGUGAUGUUGAAGGGAAGAAUUAACAUAAAAUAUGCCAAGAAACUAGUGAAAUGUUAUGUUUAGGAUCAGUUUAGCAACUGAUCUGUUGGGUGUAAUCUUUCAGUUCCAUCCAGGAGGAGGAGGAAGAAAUUUUCUUUUUGUAUUGCACACUUAGUUUCUUUUGCUUCUUACUAUAUCUCUUUUUUCUCCAUGGGGGUUAGGCACCUUGCUGUGACAAGCUUUAUACUUGCCGCUUGUGUCAUGAUAACAAUGAAGAUCAUCAACUAGAUCGCUUUAAAGUGAAGGAAGUGCAGUGCAUAAACUGUGAAAAAAUUCAACAUGCCCAACAGACUUGUGAAGAAUGUAGCACAUUGUUUGGAGAAUAUUAUUGCGAUAUAUGCCAUUUGUUUGACAAAGAUAAGAAGCAGUAUCACUGUGAAAACUGUGGAAUUUGUAGGAUUGGUCCAAAGGAAGAUUUUUUCCAUUGUUUGAAAUGUAACUUAUGCCUAGCUAUGAAUCUUCAAGGAAGACACAAGUGUAUUGAAAAUGUGUCUCGACAGAAUUGUCCAAUAUGUUUGGAGGACAUUCACACAUCCCGUGUUGUUGCUCAUGUCUUGCCAUGUGGACAUCUUUUACAUAGAACGUGUUAUGAAGAAAUGUUGAAAGAGUGAGUGUUUGGGAUUUUAAAAAUAAUUAGGCUACAGAUGUCCAUUAUGUAUGCACUCUGCUUUAGAUAUGACCAGGUAUUGGAGACAGCUGGAUGAUGAAGUAGCACAGACUCCUAUGCCAUCAGAAUAUC
rnacentral:sRNA from 1 species